AUUGAACGCUGGCGGCAGGCUUAACACAUGCAAGUCGAGCGGAGAGAGGUAGCUUGCUACUGAUCUUAGCGGCGGACGGGUGAGUAAUGCUUAGGAAUCUGCCUAUUAGUGGGGGACAACAUUUCGAAAGGAAUGCUAAUACCGCAUACGUCCUACGGGAGAAAGCAGGGGAUCUUCGGACCUUGCGCUAAUAGAUGAGCCUAAGUCGGAUUAGCUAGUUGGUGGGGUAAAGGCCUACAAAGGCGACGAUCUGUAGCGGGUCUGAGAGGAUGAUCCGACACACGGGGACUGAGGCACGGCCCAGACUCCUACGGGAGGCAGCAGUGGGGAAUAUUGGACAAUGGGCGGAAGCCUGAUCCAGCCAUGCCGCGUGUGUGAAGAAGGCCUUAUGGUUGUAAAGCACUUUAAGCGAGGAGGAGGCUACUUUAGUUAAUACCCUUGAUGAGUGGACGUUACUCGCAGAAUAAGCACCGGCUAACUCUGUGCCAGCCGCCGCAGUAACAC
rnacentral:rRNA from 1 species